ensembl:lincRNA
GUCUUGUCUCUCCAUCCUGCAACCCAGCCUGGGAUUACUCUUACCAGUUCUCACUGCCAUCUUGCUUGGGUUGCAGCCACUAGAACCACCUGGCUUUCUACUGCAGAGACCGUCCGUCUUCCUAAAGGCUCAAGGCCCUCAUCACCUGAUCCCAUAGCAGAAGCUUGGUGAGCGAAAUAUUGAGGCCGCACUAUCCGAGUGUGAAUAUACUCUACUGCCUUCUCCAGGCCAUUCAGAUUUAUUUGGAGAGAAGUUGUGUUCAUGGGAGAGCUCUGAAUGUGUUCGUGGCCAUAUAUUAGAUCAGUCGUAUAUGCUGUGUUUGUUGAGACCCAGAAGGAAGGACACUUCCAGAAAGGUCUCCAUCACAGUGAUGAAAAACCUUCCCACAGAUCUGAAAGUCGUUAGCACGUCAGUGCUGCUAGUCAUUCUUGCCUCCUACUUGGGAACCACCUGGAAACUUCCUUGUUUGUGUGGUGUGUGUGCAGAGAUGGGGAUACUCAUUCUGAAUGAUAAAUCAGGAGUGCUACCCUUGGGGCGCCUGAUGAACGCUGAUGGAGACCUUCUCCCUUUCUGGAGAGGAGUGGAGGGGCAGACAUUGCAGGCAGCCGGCACAGCAUGUAGAGUCCCUGACGUGGGAAGGAGCGAGGCCAGAGUGGUGGCAGUGGAGAAGAGGACAGUGAGAUUCCCAAGAGAUUGGGCUGGAGCUGAAGCUGACCAGAUGAUGAAUCCCCCUAGACCAUGUGAAGGGGAUUUUGUUGAAAAUGUCUUCCAUGUCCAGGUAAGGAAUAAGGCUGUGCCUUCUUCUGGUUCCUCAAAAUAUACAAACAGUAACAAAAAACAUCCUCCUCGGGCACCUGGGUGGCUCAGUGGGUUAAGCCCCUGCCUUCGGCUCAGGUUAUGAUCUCAGGGUCCUGGGAUCCAGCCCUAUGUCCGGCUCUCUGCUUAGCAGGGAGCCUGCUCACCCUCUCUUUGCCUGCCUCUCUGCCUACUUGUGAUCUCUGUCUCUCUGUCAAAUAAAUAAGUAAAAUCUUAAAAACAAAAAACAUCCUCCUCUCUUGGGCAUCCUUUUAUACUUUAUUUCAUCCUGAGAGCUGAUACCAUUCAGGUUUCUAUGCAGCAAGCACAGAAUGAAUGCUGACAUGGGAGCCCGUGCACGGUCAACCUGGGUGGACGCGAGGGAAUUUAUGGGGUGGGAGUUACUGGGUUAGAGAUAUGCUUACUCUUUUCUAUUCGGUGUCACUGUAGCUAGGGGUGGCACAUAGAAUGGGGGCAGUAGAUCCCAGGUCCAGAUUGCACAAGGGGCCUUUAGGCCUGCCGGUCAUUUUUAGACAGUUUUAAGAACUAAUGAUGGUCUUCGUAGACAGCAGAAAGGAGAAGACUGAACACAUGAGGGUAAGAUUUCAGCACGUGCCCUCUGAGCUUUGGGCCACUUCCUUCGAGUCAGCAUGGCCAUGGCCUACCGCGCCUCUCAUAAGAUUGCUCACUGUGAUCGUCCAGGGAAGAGAAAGGACCAAGGCUUGGAUAAAGACAUUUGUUCACAUGGGUUUGCAUCAUUUGUUUCUCAUCUGCAAAAGACAAAUAUUGAAAUUGGUUUUCUGUCUCCUGUGAGCCUCUUGAUCUUUUCGGAAUAUCAGACCACCUCAGACUAAACUCAAACAUUUUUUAUAUGUAGUGUCAGAGUUCUUUAUCUUUCUUAGUGAGAGGAGAUGUUUGGGAGCAGUCUAAUGAGAUUGUUCGUCAAUAGUUUUUAUCUUCUGAGUUUUAAAAGAUGGUCAGUGUGAAUUUAGAAAGCAGAUUAAAAUUGUUUCAAAUUGCUAGAAAAACCAUUCUGACAUUUAAUGAGAACAAAUCAAGAAAGAAAGGAAAAAGAAAAAGGGAACAUUUCGAGUUUUGAGUGUACUUUUUUUCUGAAAGCUUGUGUGGGGUAAUUUCCAUAGUUCUAUGAGUUGAGGCAUAUAUGUGACUUGAGUUUAGGUUUAAUCCUUUGAUAUGCUAGUGGCUCAGCUUUCAGAAAUUAAAAAAAAAAAAGGUUUGAAUAAGUGAGAUGUCUUAUUUUCUUCCUAUGUCUUAUCAUGCUGUAAUGGUUAAUUUUAUUUGUCAACUUGACUGGGCCAUGGACUGGCCAGACAUUUGGUCAGACAUUAUCCUGGGUAGGG